GACAGAGGGUGCAAACGUUGUUCGGAAUUACUGGGCGUAAAGCGCGUGUAGGCGGUCUCAUAAGUCGGGUGUGAAAGCCCUGGGCUCAACCCAGGAAGUGCACUCGAAACUGCGAGGCUAGAGUAUCGGAGAGGUUGGUGGAAUUCUCGGUGUAGAGGUGAAAUUCGUAGAUAUCGAGAGGAACACCGGUGGCGAAGGCGGCCAACUGGACGAAUACUGACGCUGAGACUCGAAAGCGUGGGGAGCGAACAGG
rnacentral:rRNA from 1 species